UCUAUAAAUAAAACAGCAGCUGCUUUGUGUGUUUGUGCAUUAGAGCAACGUUCUUCAGGGAGAUGCAGAGCUGGAGGAUACCAGCAAAGAGCAAGAGGAGCCACACGAGGAAACAUCUUUGCAUGAAGAAGAGCACCUGAUUGUCCUGGAUGAUACAGACGUCCCACAAACACCAUCAAGCACACUCCACGACCUCUGCUCGUCAGGAGAGGUCAAAGGUCAAGGUCAAGACGUGACUGUCAGUGAGCUUCUGCUGGACAAAGAGCCCUUGGAGCAGCAGAGCCAACAAAAUGCACAGAACAGGUGCGUCGUGGCUCGUUUUGCAUUCGAGGGGGAGGAGGGGGAGCUGUCCUUCACUGAGGGUGAUGUCAUCACUCUAAUGGAAUAUGUAAAUGAGGAGUGGGGGCGUGGCCUCCUGAACGGACAGAAGGGAAUCUUCCCUCUCAGUUUCGUCCAGGCUAUAGAGGAAACUGAAGCGUUGCCACGGAAACUGGCUCUGGACUCUCCUGCGCCCCCUGCAGGAGCGAGGAUCAGAGGACGAGCACUUUAUGAUUUCACUCCUGAGUGUGAGGACGAGCUCUGUCUGAAGGCAGGAGAUGUGGUGUGUGGUUUGGAGGACAUGGAUGCUGAGUGGUUCCUCGGAGAAUCCGGUGGGAAACGUGGCAUCAUCCC